AGCUUUCUGAAUCUGUGCGACGAUUUCAUCAGACACCAACCUAUUAAGGCUGAUCAAACUUCUAAGAUAAGUGAAAUU
rnacentral:pre_miRNA from 1 species